GACGAACGCUGGCGGCGUGCUUAACACAUGCAAGUCGAACGCUGAAGCUUGGUGCUUGCACUGGGUGGAUGAGUGGCGAACGGGUGAGUAAUACGUGAGUAACCUGCCCUUGACUCUGGGAUAAGCCUGGGAAACUGGGUCUAAUACUGGAUAUGACAUGCCACUGCAUGGUGGUGUGUGGAAAGGGUUUUACUGGUUUUGGAUGGGCUCACGGCCUAUCAGCUUGUUGGUGGGGUCAUGGCCUACCAAGGCGACGACGGGUAGCCGGCCUGAGAGGGUGACCGGCCACACUGGGACUGAGACACGGCCCAGACUCCUACGGGAGGCAGCAGUGGGGAAUAUUGCACAAUGGGCGGAAGCCUGAUGCAGCGACGCCGCGUGAGGGAUGACGGCCUUCGGGUUGUAAACCUCUUUCAGCACGGAAGAAGCGAGAGUGACGGUACGUGCAGAAGAAGCGCCGGCUAACUACGUG
rnacentral:rRNA from 1 species